rnacentral:rRNA from 1 species
AAUGAACGCUGGCGGCGUGCCUAACACAUGCAAGUCGAACGAGAAAGCCUGGCUUGCCAGGCAAGUAAAGUGGCGCACGGGUGAGUAACGCGUGGGUAAUCUACCUUCGUCUGGGGGAUAACCUACCGAAAGGUGGGCUAAUACCGCAUGACGUGAUCGGGUUGCGACCUGAUCACCAAAGAUAGCCUCUCCCUGGAAGCUAUCGGGUGAAGAUGAGCCCGCGUCCCAUUAGCUAGUUGGUAAGGUAACGGCUUACCAAGGCGACGAUGGGUAGCUGGUCUGAGAGGAUGGCCAGCCACACUGGAACUGGAACACGGUCCAGACUCCUACGGGUGGCAG